rnacentral:rRNA from 1 species
GGGCGUAAAGCGAGCGCAGACGGUUGAUUAAGUCUGAUGUGAAAGCCCGGAGCUCAACUCCGGAAUGGCAUUGGAAACUGGUUAACUUGAGUGUUGUAGAGGUAAGUGAAACUCCAUGUGUAGCGGUGGAAUGCGUAGAUAUAUGGAAGAACACCAGUGGCGAAGGCGGCUUACUGGACAACAACUGACGUUGAGGCUCGAAAGUGUGGGUAGCAAACAGGAUUAGAUACCCUGGUAGUCCACACCGUAAACGAUGAAUACUAGGUGUUAGGAGGUUUCCGCCUCUUAGUGCCGAAGCUAACGCAUUAAGUAUUCCGCCUGGGGAGUACGACCGCAAGGUUGAAACUCAAAGGAAUUGACGGGGACCGCACAGGCGGUGGAGCAUGUGGUUUAAUUCGAAGCAACGCGAAGAACCUUACCAGGUCUUGACAUCCUUUGAAGCUUUUAGAGAUAGAAGUGUUCUCUUCGGAGACAAAGU